rnacentral:piRNA from 1 species
UGCAUUGCGAGACCAAUCUAGACGGCUC